GUCAGAGGACACCCUUCUGGUAGGCCUGGGUCAGAGGGGUCAGAGGACACCCUUCUGGUAGGCCUGGGGCUGAGGGGUCAGAGGACACCCUUCUGGUAGGCCUGGGUCAGAGGGGUCAGAGGACAGCCUUCUGGUAGGCCUGGGUCAGAGGGGUCAGAGGACACCCUUCUGGUAGCCUGGGGCUGAGGGGUCAGAGGACACCCUUCUGGUAGGCCUGGGUCAGAGGGGUCAGAGGACACCCUUCUGGUAGGCCUGGGUCAGAGGGGUCAGAGGACACCCUUCUGGUAGGCCUGGGUCAGAGGGGACAGAGGACACCCUUCUGGUAGGCCUGAGGCUGAGGGGUCAGAGGACACCCUUCUGGUAGGCCUGGGGCUGAGGACACCCUUCUUGUUGGUCUGGGGCAGAGGGGUCAGAGGACACCCUUCUGGUAGGUUUGGGGCAGAGGGGUCAGAGAACACCCUUCUGGUAGGUCUGGUGCUGAGGGGUCAGAGGACACCCUUCUGGUAGGCCUGGGGCUGAUGACACCCUUCUGGUAGGUCUGGGGCUGAGGGGUCAGAGGACACCAUUCUGGUUGGCCUGGGGCUGAGGACACCCUUCUGGUAGGCCUGGGGCAGAGGACACCCUUCUGGUAGGUCUGGGGCAGAGGGGUCAGAGGACACCCUUCUGGUAGGCCUGGGGCUGAGGGGUCAGAGGACACCCUUCUGGUAGGCCUGGGUCAGAGGGGUCAGAGGACACCCUUCUGGUAGGCCUGGGUCAGAGGGGUCAGAGGACACCCUUCUGGUAGGCCUGGGGCUGAGGGGUCAGAGGAC
ensembl:lncRNA